rnacentral:rRNA from 1 species
UAGCAUAUGCUUGUCUCAAAGAUUAAGCCAUGCAUGUCUAAGUACGCACGGCCGGUACAGUGAAACUGAGAAUGGCUCAUUAAAUCAGUUAUGGUUCCUUUGGUCGCUCGCUCCUCUCCUACUUGGAUAACUGUGGUAAUUCUAGAGCUAAUACAUGCCGACGGGCGCUGACCCCCUUCGCGGGGGGGAUGCGUGCAUUUAUCAGAUCAAAACCAACCCGGUCAGCCCCUCUCCGGCCCCGGCCGGGGGGCGGGCGCCGGCGGCUUUGGUGACUCUAGAUAACCUCGGGCCGAUCGCACGCCCCCCGUGGCGGCGACGACCCAUUUGAACGUUUGCCCUAUCAACUUUCGAUGGUCGUCCGCCGUGCCUACCAUGGUGACCACGGGUGACGGGGAAUCAGGGUUCGAUUCCGGAGAGGGAGCCUGAGAAACGGGUACCACAUCCAAGGAAGGCAGCAGGCGCGCAAAUUACCCACUCCCGACCCGGGGAGGUAGUGACGAAAAAUAACAAUACAGGACUCUUUUGAGGCCCCGUAAUUGGAAUGAGUCCACUUUAAAUCCUUUAACGAGGAUCCAUU